UACGUAGGGGGCUAGCGUUGUCCGGAAUCACUGGGCGUAAAGAGCGCGUAGGCGGCUAGAUAAGUCCGGUGUGAAAGUCACAGGCUCAACCUGUGAAUGCCGCUGGAAACUGUCUGGCUAGAGUCCGGAAGGGGCGAGUGGAAUUCCGGGUGUAGUGGUGAAAUGCGUAGAGAUCCGGAGGAACCCCAGUGGCGAAGGCGGUGCCCUGGCUCGCAACUGACGCUCAGACACGACAGCAUGGGGAGCGAACGGG
rnacentral:rRNA from 1 species